UACAGAGGUCUCAAGCGUUGUUCGGAUUCAUUGGGCGUAAAGGGCGCGUAGGCGGCGCGGUAAGUCACUUGUGAAAUCUCUGAGCUUAACUCAGAACGGCCAAGUGAUACUGCAGUGCUAGAGUGUGGAAGGGGCUACUGGAAUUCUCGGUGUAGCGGUGAAAUGCGUAGAUAUCGAGAGGAACACCUGCGGCGAAGGCGGGUAGCUGGGCCGACACUGACGCUGAUGCGCGAAAGCCAGGGGAGCGAACGGG
rnacentral:rRNA from 1 species